CCUACGGGAGGCAGCAGUGAGGAAUAUUGGUCAAUGGGCGCGAGCCUGAACCAGCCAAGUCGCGUGAGGGAGGACGGCCCUACGGGUUGUAAACCUCUUUUGCCGGGGAGCAACGGGCGUCACGUGUGGCGCCACUGAGAGUACCCGGCGACAAAGCAUCGGCUAACUCCGUGCCAGCAGCCGAGGUAAUACGGAGGACGCGAGCGUUAUCCGGAUUUAUUGGGUUUAAAGGGUGCGUAGGCGGAUCGUUAAGUCAGUGGUCAGAUUGAGGGGCCCAACCCCUUCCCGCCAUUGAAACUGGCGUGCUUGAGUGGAAGAGAAGUAGGCGGAAUGCGUGGUGUAGCGGUGAAAUGCAUAGAUAUCACGCAGAACCCCGAUUGCGAAGGCAGCAUGCCGGCUUCCGACUGACGCUGAAGUACGAAAGCGUGGGGAUCGAACAGGAUUAGAUACCCCAGUAGUC
rnacentral:rRNA from 1 species